UACGGAGGGUGCGAGCGUUGUCCGGAAUCACUGGGCGUAAAGGGCGCGUAGGCGGCCUGAUAAGUAGGGGGUGAAAUCCUGCGGCUUAACCGCAGGGCUGCCUUCUAAACUGUCAGGCUCGAGCACAGUAGAGGCAGGUGGAAUUCCCGGUGUAGCGGUGGAAUGCGUAGAGAUCGGGAAGAACAUCAGUGGCGAAGGCGGCCUGCUGGGCUGUUGCUGACGCUGAGGCGCGACAGCGUGGGGAGCAAACGGG
rnacentral:rRNA from 1 species